rnacentral:rRNA from 1 species
CCCUUAGAUGUCCUGGGCCGCACGCGCGCUACACUGAGUGUCUGAGAUACGAGUCUGCCUGGUCCGGCAAGGUCUAGGUAAUCGCUAAAAGACACAUCAUGCUUGGGAUAGAUUAUUGCAAAUAUUAAUCUUGAACGAGUAAUUCCUAGUAAGCGCAAGUCAACAGCUUGCGUUGAUUACGUCCCUGCCCUUUGUACACACCGCCCGUCGCUACUACUGAUUGGAUGUUUAAGCGAGGUUCUCGAACUGCUAGCGACUUAGCUUCGGUGAGGUCGCAGUGUGGGAAGUGAACCUAGCUUUGGUGUCUAGAGGAAGUAAAAGUCGUAACA